ensembl:lncRNA
UUUUUUUUUUUUUUUUUUUUUUUUUUUGUCUUUUUAGGGCCGCACCUGAGGCAUAUGGUGGUUCCCAGGCUAGGGGUCUAAUUGGAGCUGUAGCCUUCAGCCUUCGCCACAGCCACAGCAACUCAAGAUCCAAGCCAAGUCUGCAACCAAUACCAAAGAUCACAGCAACACUGGAGACUUAACCCACUGAGCAAGGCCAGGGAUUGAACCUGCCUCCUCAUGGAUGCUAGUCAGAUUCGUUUCCACUGAGUCACAACAGGAACUCCUGUAUCGUAGUAUUUAAGUGGAUUCCUAGAAUUGUAUUUCCUACAUGGAUGCUUCCUGUGAAUUACUGACUUGAAUAGUCAAUUGCCUAUUUGAUAUAUCCAUUUAUCAAAUUCAAAAGACAUCACAAAUUUAUCUUGUCCAAAAAGCCUUCUGCUCCAAACUUGUUUGUAGACACUGCCUUCCACAUUUCAGUAGAUGGCAACCCCAUCCUUCCAGUUGCUCAGAUCUAAAACUUUAAGCAGUAUCUCUUUUCUUAUACCUGUAAGAAAAUCUUACUGGCUCUAUGUUCAAAAUUUAUUUGGAAUUUAACAACUUCUUACCACCUCCACUACUAUCUAAAUUAUUACAAUACUGGUCUUCCUUAUCUUCUACCUCCUAAAAUCUAUUUACAAACCAGCAGCUGAAGCAGUCUUCUCAUUUUAUUGGGAAAAAUCUAAAACAUAUAGAAAAAUUGAAAGAUUUUACAGUGAUCCGUCUGUAUACUCACUACCUAGAAUCUACCAUUUCUAAGAUAACAAAUCUUAUAGCUCCUCUGCUCAAAAUGCCUCAAUGCCUUGCCUCAUUCAAAGAAGAAAAGCCAGGAGUUCCUGUUGUGGCUCAGCAGAAAAGAAUCUGACUAGUAACUGUGAGGUUGCAGAUUCAUUCCAUUGCACCACAACGGGAACUCCUAGCAUCCUAUUUUUAAUGUGUGAACUAACAUUUUCCAGAGAUGUGUGUAGAGUGAAACAUAGUAUUGUGUUUGUAAAAGUCAAUUUUGUAAAAAACCACAAAAAUGAGUACUUGUUCUUGAGGAAGGAAAAUUUUUAUUUCUUGACAUCAUCAAAGAAAAAUGUGAGGGAUCUGGUAUGAAAAGAACAAAAAUGUACAGAUCCUACCACCUCAUUCCUCAAAACUGUAUAAACACUUUCAAAAUUUUCCUUCAUCUAUUAAUCUGUCCCUAGAGCAGCCAGCCCACACAGACCUGGGGGCAUUCAAAUGUCAGAAUAUUCCAUAAAUAUCUGGGAACACAUAUUUUUGGCAAAAAGAAAUCAUUUAACAUGCAGGGAAAGACUGCUUGUGAAAUAGUUCAGAGUGAUACAUUCAGUCAGGAUCCCCUUGCAAUGACAAAAUUAGAGCAUCAUUCUUAUAACAUUCUUGGGAACAUUCAAAAGACCUAUGACAUCAUGAACUCUUAAAACAAGAGGAUUUUUUUUUAAUUGAAGUACAGUUGAUUUACAAUGCUGUGUUAAAUUCUUCUGUACAGCGAAGUGAUUCAGAUAUAUAUGUAUAUGUAUGUAUACAUUCUUUUUAAAAUAUUCUUUUCCAUUAUGGUUUACCAUAAGAUAUUGAAUAUAGUUUCCUGUGCUAUACAGUAGAACCUUAUUCUUUAUCCCUUCUAUACAUAAGAGCUUACAUCUGCUAACCCUACACUCCCACUCCAUCCUUCCCCCUAGAAUUGUUUUUUUGGGUGCCAAAUGGAUGGCAAGUAUCCUAUAGUGAGAGAUGUAAAAACAGAGAAGUUCCAGGAGUUCCCCUAUGGCUCAGUGGGUUAAGGAUCAGUGUUGCCACUGCAAUGGCCCUGGUUACAGCUGUGGCGCAUGUUUGAUCCCUGGCCUGGGAACUUCUGCACGCUGAGAGUGGGGCCAACAAAACACAACAAAAUGAAACACAGAAGUCCUAAAACUGCCUCUUACCACUCUACCUUCAAAAAAAUUUAUAUCUAUAUCUAUAUCUAUGUAUCUUUCUUUUUAUGGCCAUACCUGCAACAUAUGGAGGGAGGUUCCCAAGCUAGGGGUCAAAUCUGAGCUGCAGCUGCCAGGCUACGUACACCAUAGCCACAGCCACACCAGAUGUGACCUACAUGGCUGCUUGGUUACAUCCGAGGCCAGAGAUAGAACCUGCAUCCUCAUGGACACGGUGUAGGGUUCUUAACCCACUGAGCCCCAACAGCAACUCCAUAUUUUCAUAAUAAAAUGAUAAAAGUGACAUAGGUUACUUCAUUUACAUUUCCCUCUUAGAUAUUAAAGUACAGCAACAUGGCUUAAAGUAAAAGGGGAAUUAGAGCCAGAGAGACUAGAGUUCAAAUUCUCUUUCAGACACUAGUUUUGUUACCUUAAGUGUGUCAUAAUUUCUCUGAAUCUCAAAGUCUUUGUUACUAAAAUGGGUAUAAUAACCCCCAUGGCUCAAGCUUGGUCCUGGUUACUAAAAGGGAUAAUAUACUGAAGUGCUUAGUAAGAUGCUGUGCAAAUAGUAGGUACUCAAUAAGUGUGACCUUUCUCCCAGUUUUCCAAGAACACAUAGCAAAACAUUUCCUUCUCUUUUAGUUUGGGAUGAGCCAAAACAGUGACUAAGGAGUAAAUUUUUAAAAAGCAAGUGAAUCUACACCUAAUAUAAUCUAAACAAACUUUCCAUUAAGUAUGCAGUUAUGUAACUGAAAUUUAAUAAACAUUAUUGGAUGCAGUGGCAUUAUUCAGAAACCUGAAUAGCCCCUCUUCUGCAAGUCUGCCUUUUAUUUUAUCUUUGACUGAUUUAGCAAAAUAUAUCAUUAAUCCCUUUAUUCAGAUUAUAACAUAGUAUGAUCCCUUGAGAAGAUUAAGGCUCUCUUGAUGUCAGAUAAAAACCGUAGUUUCUUUUCUUUUUUUCUUUUUAGGGCCACAUCUGACACAUAUGGAGGUUCCCAGGCUAGAGGUGGAAUCAGAGCUGUAGCUGCUGGCCUAAGCCACAGCAACGCAGAAAGGCCAGAUCUGAACCGUUGACCGAGACCUACACCACAGCUCAUGGCAACUCAGGAUCCUUAACCCAAUGAGCGAGGCGAGGGAUCGAACCUAUGUCCUCAUGGAUGCUAGUCAGAUUCGUUUCCGCUGAGCUAAGACGGGAACUGCCCCAAACCGUAGUUUCAAUGUUUGCUCGUGUGUCUAAGAAAAAUAGUGACAUGGAAAGAGAAACAGUGAGAAAUUAAAGGCUGCUUUUCAAGGCUGAUGGUAUGGUAAUUCUCUUGUGAUGAAGACACCUGUUGAUGCCUCACUACCUAGAGACCUUAAGUACCAUAAUUCAUGCCUUGAACCUUGAAGUUCCAUACUCUAGUUCUCAAGGACUCUAAAGGGUGACCAAGCCUUCUGAAAUCGCCAAAGGGGGCAACAGAGAAACAGCCCUUAGAAGGCAUUAGAGCCAGGUUCUUAGCAUUGAACUGUGGGCUUAUUCAGGGGGUUCUAGAACCCACAGUCCCUGGAUGUCAAGUUGUGGUAUUUUAUGCCAUUUCCCCAGGCGGCUUCUCAACUACCACUUCCCUCUAGAUGUCUUCUCUAGACGUCCUACCCUGCCAAAGAGGUCUCGCCCACGUAAUCGCUCGUCACUUUGGUGAUUUCUUGCGGAGCCUUACCAUAAUCUGUCAUUAUCUUGUGUGUUUCAAUGUCUACCCCACUAGAAGAUGACCUCCCCAAAGAGCAGGACGCUGGACUUUCUACAGUGCCUUGAACCUGGUGGAUCUCAAGAGAUACUUCCGGAAUGAAGGACAGAUCUGUGUCCAUCAGGUAUUUAACGGACUUUACAUUCUCUCCCCCUUGUCCCCAGCAUUCUUCUCUGAAAAUCAUUUCAUAAUCAUUCGUUUUGGAAAUGAAGCUUUCAGCAUUUCAACCACACCCACCCACCUUCGUUCCUACCUUUGGAACUGUCACCCUGGCAGUUAGAGGUGACCAGGGCGGGUGCAGCCUUGAAUUCACAUUUCCAGCCCGGGUACUGGGGGCGGAGGGGCUGGGCAGGCCCCGCUAGCCCAAACAAGCCACCUCGAGGCCGCCGGGGCCUUGGGGCCUUCGCCCCACCGGCGGUCGCGCCUCUUGCCACUAACCCAGCGCAAUCCCAGAGACUUGCAGAGGCAAGGGACUCUUCCCUUGGGUUGC